AACGAACGCUGGCGGCGCGUCUUAAGCAUGCAAGUCGAACGGCAAGAGAGAAGCUUGCUUCUCUCCUAGAGUGGCGGACUGGUGAGGAACACGUGGGUAAUCUACCCUUAAGAUGGGGAUAGCUGCUAGAAAUAGCAGGUAAUACCGAAUACACUCAGUUUUUCAUAAGAAGGAUUGAGGAAAGGAAGCUACGGCUUCGCUUGAGGAUGAGCUUGCGUCCCAUUAGCUUGUUGGUGAGGUAACGGCUCACCAAGGCGACGAUGGGUAUCCGGCCUGAGAGGGUGAUCGGACACAUUGGGACUGAGAUACGGCCCAAAUCCUACGGGAGGCAGCAGCUAAGAAUAUUCCGCAGUGGACGAAAGUCUGACGGAGCGACGCCGCGUGGAUGAAGAAGGCUGAAAAGUUGUAAAAUCCUUUUGUUGAUGAAGAAUAAGGGUGAGAGGGAAUGUUCAUCUGAUGACGGUAAUCAGCGAAUAAGCCCCG
rnacentral:rRNA from 1 species